UCCGAUUUGUCACCGGCAGUCUCCCAUGAGUCCCCGACAUGACUCGCUGGCAACAUCGGACAGGGGUUGCGCUCGUUGCGCCACUUAAGGCAACACCUCACGGCACGAGCUGACGACAGCCAUGCAGCACCUGUGCGGGCUCCCGAAGGAGGACCGUGUUUCCACAGGUAUGACCGACAUGUCAAACCCAGGUAAGGUUCUUCGCGUUGCGUCGAAUUAAACCACAUGCUCCGCUGCUUGUGCGGGUCCCCGUCAAUUCCUUUGAGUUUUAGCCUUGCGGCCGUACUCCCCAGGCGGGGCGCUUAAUGCGUUAGCUUCGGCACGGACGGAGUCGACACCGCCCACACCUAGCGCCCAUCGUUUACGGCGUGGACUAC
rnacentral:misc_RNA from 1 species